rnacentral:rRNA from 1 species
ACCUGCAGUCGAGCGGUAACAUUUCUAGCUUGCUAGAAUAUGACGAGCGGCGGACGGGUGAGUAAUGCUUGGGAACAUGCCUUGAGGUGGGGGACAACAGUUGGAAACGACUGCUAAUACCGCAUAAUGUCUACGGACCAAAGGGGGCUUCGGCUCUCGCCUUUAGAUUGGCCCAAGUGGGAUUAGCUAGUUGGUGAGGUAAUGGCUCACCAAGGCGACAAUCCCUAGCUGGUUUGAGAGGAUGAUCAGCCACACUGGGACUGAGACACGGCCCAGACUCCUACGGGAGGCAGCAGUGGGGAAUAUUGCACAAUGGGCGCAAGCCUGAUGCAGCCAUGCCGCGUGUGUGAAGAAGGCCUUCGGGUUGUAAAGCACUUUCAGUCAGGAGGAAAGGUUAGUAGUUAAUACCUGCUAGCUGUGACGUUACUGACAGAAAAAACACCGGCUAACUCCGUGCCAGCAGCCGCGGUAAUACGGAGGGUGCGAGCGUUAAUCGGAAUUACUGGGCGUAAAGCGUACGCAGGCGGUUUGUUAAGCGAGAUGUGAAAGCCCCGGGCUCAACCUGGGAACUGCAUUUCGAACUGGCAAACUAUAGUGUGAUAGAGGGUGGUAGAAUUUCAGGUGUAUCGGUGAAAUGCGUAUAGAUCUGAAGGAAUACCGAUGGCGAAGGCAGCCACCUGGGUCAACACUGACGCUCAUGUACGAAAGCGUGGGGAGCAAACAGGAUUAUAUACCCUGGUAGUCCACGCCGUAUACGAUGUCUACUAGAAGCUCGGAACCUCGGUUCUGUUUUUCAAAGCUAACGCAUUAUGUAGACCGCCUGGGGAGUACGGCCGCAAGGUUAAAACUCAAAUGAGUUGACGGGGGCCCGCACAAGCGCUGUAGCAUGUGGUUUAAUUCGAUGCAACGCGAAGAGCCUUACCUUACACUGACAU